rnacentral:rRNA from 1 species
AAAGCGUGCGCAGGCGGUUUUGUAAGUCUGUCGUGAAAGCCCCGGGCUCAACCUGGGAAUUGCGAUGGAGACUGCAAGGCUUGAAUCUGGCAGAGGGGGGUAGAAUUCCACGUGUAGCAGUGAAAUGCGUAGAGAUGUGGAGGAACACCGAUGGCGAAGGCAGCCCCCUGGGUCAAGAUUGACGCUCAUGCACGAAAGCGUGGGGAGCAAACAGGAUUAGAUACCCCAGU